rnacentral:rRNA from 1 species
UUUCACGAGCAUGUGCACACUCGAUCCAUUUUUUAACCACCUGUGCACUCAUUGUAGACUCUGGAAUGAAUGUUUUCGAGGAUAUAUAUUAUACUCGGUUUGAGAACUUGUCCUUGGGGGCUGUUCUUGUGUUCUUCUGGGUCUAUGUUUUAUACAAUAUACUCCAUAACAAGUAAUAGAAUGAUAAUUAUAGGCCUUUGUGUCUUUAAACCCUAAUACAACUUUCAACAACGGAUCUCUUGGCUCUCGCAUCGAUGAAGAACGCAGCGAAAUGCGAUAAGUAAUGUGAAUUGCAGAAUUCAGUGAAUCAUCGAAUCUUUGAACGCACCUUGCGCUCCUUGGUAUUCCGAGGAGCAUGCCUGUUUGAGUGUCAUGAAAUUCUCAACCUUUCUGGCUUUUUAUUGAGCUGGUCAGGAUUGGAUUGUGGAAGUUGCUGGCUUCUUUAGAGGGGUCAGCUCUUCUUAAAUGCAUUAGCAAAAUUCUUGGCUUGAUUAUCUUUGAUAUGAUAAAUUAUCUAUACCAUUGUAAUAUAUAGCUUUUUCCACUGUUUAAAGGUUUUCAGGCUCCACUUGGAAAUUUAUAUAUU